GUGAGGAAUAUUGGUCAAUGGGCGAGAGCCUGAACCAGCCAAGUAGCGUGCAGGAUGACGGCCCUAUGGGUUGUAAACUGCUUUUAUACAGGGAUAAAGUGGGGAACGUGUUCCCUUUUGUAGGUACUGUAUGAAUAAGGACCGGCUAAUUCCGUGCCAGCAGCCGCGGUAAUACGGAAGGUCCGGGCGUUAUCCGGAUUUAUUGGGUUUAAAGGGAGCGCAGGCCGAUGGUUAAGCGUGACGUGAAAUGUAGCCGCUCAACGGCUGAACUGCGUCGCGAACUGGCUAUCUUGAGUGAGUUCGAUGUUGGCGGAAUUCGUGGUGUAGCGGUGAAAUGCUUAGAUAUCACGAAGAACUCCGAUUGCGAAGGCAGCCAACAAGGCCUUUACUGACGCUAAAGCUCGAAGGUGCGGGUAUCGAACAGG
rnacentral:rRNA from 1 species